rnacentral:lncRNA from 1 species
UCUGGCUCCCCUCUUUCCUCCUGCAUGUGUUCUUUCCCAGCUUUCUUUACAAAACACCGCCAUCUCAGCUGGAGCUUUCCUCCACGCACACAGAGUCUGAUGCUCCUGCAGGGAAGGAGAAUUCUCCUCCCCGCCGCCACAACAGAGAAGCCACAUCAAAUGGUCAACGAGAAUCAACAAACUGAUGAACGAGUCUCUGAUGCUGGUCACAGCGCUGAACCCUCACAUAGGGUAUGAUAAAGCCGCCGCGAUCGCAAAGACGGCGCACAAAGAGGGAUCGACUCUGAAAGCCACGGCCGUGAAGCUGGGCUUCCUGACGGAGGAGCAGUUUGAGCAGUGGGUGCGACCGCAGGACAUGCUGGGACCCAAAUAGAGCAGAAACCUUUCUACAAUAAAAGAGCUGUUCUGUUCUCAUGCAUUGAUUCUGUCGGGUGUGCUUUCUCUCAGUCUCAUCGUGUAACAUGAGAUCACCAGGAACAUCUGCUGAUGUGUGCGCUUACAUUUAUUCAUACGACAGACGCGGGUCACAGUGUGUUCAGCGUUUAAUAUUUGAUCGGUGUGCGUGUGUUAUCCGUGGCCGCAUUGGUAAAGAUCUCUCAAAUAUAUUCGUGCCAAGAUCAAGAGGAUAAAAUUACUGGAAAAAUAAAUAUUUCUGAAGUUUUACAUUUUGUGUGAGUGGAGUUGUAGUUUUCAUUUCAUCUCUAAAUGAGCCGAGUGUGAUAGUGGAUUAAAUUAAGGCAAAGCAAGGCAGGUGUGUAUGAGCUGUGUUUUAUAAAUACAGUGCUGAGUGAAAGUGCUGUGAAGAAAAACAAUUAAAAAAGGUUCAUAAGAAAUAAAAUAAAAAUACAAUAAUAGUAAAGAAUAAAAGAGAAUAAUAAUAUUGUAGAAAAUAAACCUAAUUAUAUUUCAGUUCAAAAUCAAAAGCGAAAAAUACAUUUUGCAUAAAGAAAAUAAGACUCAUUUUUUAUUUUAUUAUUUUUAAUAUUUUAAUUUUAGUUAAAAGUUAUAGUGUUUUUGUUGUGUGUUUUUGUAUUUAAAAAAAAAAAAGUCUAUAUAAUAUUAUAUUUUUUAUUUCAGUCUUUGUUAUUUUAGUGCGUCAAGUUAAACUAAAGGAAAAAUGAAAAAUAUUGCCUUGCGACAAAAUUAAAAUAAAGUGUGUUUAGUUUAUAUAAAUAUAAAUAUACAUAAAGUCAAACCAAAUUUAUUCGGUCAAUUUUAGUUAAAGUUAUAGUGUUUUUGUUGUGUGUUUUUGUAAUUUAAAAAAAAAAGUCUAUAUAAUAUUAUUAUUUUUUAUUUCAGUCUUUGUUAUUUUAGUGCGUCAAGUUAAACUAAAGGAAAAUGAAAAAUAUUGCCUUGCGACAAAAUUAAAAUAAAGUGUGUUUAGUUUAUAUAAAUAUAAAUAUACAUAAAGUCAAACCAAAAUUUAUUCGGUCACCUUCAACAUUUCACACAUUAUCACAGUUUAUUUAUAGUUUAUAAAAUUGUAAUAAAAUAUGAUCAGAACAAAAUCUUGAUAAUGUCCGAUAACACUUGAUCAGGUCAAAUGUCUGAAUCAUUUUUGGUCCCAAAUAUUUAUCAGUUUUACUGGUCGUCCACUGUAUGAAGAAUUUUUGGGUGUAAUAUUUCACAGCUGACUUUAUUUUGCUAUCCUCACUUAAAUAAAUGAACUAUAGUGUCCUGCACCCACUAGUAAAAAAUAUCAAAAAUUGUAUCUGGUGUCUGAAUAAUUUUUUGGUUUGACUGUACAUAUUUAAAUAACAAUUAUGCUCUUAAAAAACAGGCUUGGUUUGUUUAAUACGGUGUGAGAUGUGAGCAG